rnacentral:rRNA from 1 species
GAACGGGUGAGUAACACGUGAGUAACCUGCCCUGGACUCUGGGAUAACCCCGAGAAAUCGGAGCUAAUACCGGAUAGGACCUUUCCCUGCAUGGGGUUUGGUGGAAAGUUUUUCGGUUUGGGAUGGACUCGCGGCCUAUCAGCUUGUUGGUGAGGUAAUGGCUCACCAAGGCGUCGACGGGUAGCCGGCCUGAGAGGGUGACCGGCCACACUGGGACUGAGACACGGCCCAGACUCCUACGGGAGGCAGCAGUGGGGAAUAUUGCACAAUGGGCGCAAGCCUGAUGCAGCAACGCCGCGUGCGGGAUGACGGCCUUCGGGUUGUAAACCGCUUUUAGUAAGGAAGAAGGGGAGCUUGCUCCUUGACGGUACUUGCAGAAAAAGGACCGGCUAACUACGUGCCAGCAGCCGCGGUAAUACGUAGGGUCCGAGCGUUGUCCGGAAUUAUUGGGCGUAAAGAGCUCGUAGGCGGUUUGUCGCGUCUGCUGUGAAAUCCCGAGGCUCAACCUCGGGCCUGCAGUGGGUACGGGCAGACUUGAGUGGUGUAGGGGAGACUGGAAUUCCUGGUGUAGCGGUGGAAUGCGCAGAUAUCAGGAGGAACACCGAUGGCGAAGGCAGGUCUCUGGGCACUUACUGACGCUGAGGAGCGAAAGCGUGGGGAGCGAACAGGAUUAGAU